GAGUGUAUAGCUCAAGUGGUAGAGUGUGUGUUUGGCAUGCACAGGGUGCUGGGUUCAAUUCCCAGUACCUCCU
rnacentral:tRNA from 1 species